rnacentral:rRNA from 1 species
GACGAACGCUGGCGGCGUGCUUAACACAUGCAAGUCGAACGGAAAGGCCCUGCUUUUGUGGGGUGCUCGAGUGGCGAACGGGUGAGUAACACGUGAGUAACCUGCCCUUGACUUUGGGAUAACUUCAGGAAACUGGGGCUAAUACCGGAUAGGAGCUCCUGCUGCAUGGUGGGGGUUGGAAAGUUUCGGCGGUUGGGGAUGGACUCGCGGCUUAUCAGCUUGUUGGUGGGGUAGUGGCUUACCAAGGCUUUGACGGGUAGCCGGCCUGAGAGGGUGACCGGCCACAUUGGGACUGAGAUACGGCCCAGACUCCUACGGGAGGCAGCAGUGGGGAAUAUUGCACAAUGGGCGGAAGCCUGAUGCAGCAACGCCGCGUGCGGGAUGACGGCCUUCGGGUUGUAAACCGCUUUCGCCUGUGACGAAGCGUGAGUGACGGUAAUGGGUAAAGAAGCACCGGCUAACUACGUGCCAGCAGCCGCGGUGAUACGUAGGGUGCGAGCGUUGUCCGGAUUUAUUGGGCGUAAAGGGCUCGUAGGUGGUUGAUCGCGUCGGAAGUGUAAUCUUGGGGCUUAACCCUGAGCGUGCUUUCGAUACGGGUUGACUUGAGGAAGGUAGGGGAGAAUGGAAUUCCUGGUGGAGCGGUGGAAUGCGCAGAUAUCAGGAGGAACACCAGUGGCGAAGGCGGUUCUCUGGGCCUUUCCUGACGCUGAGGAGCGAAAGCGUGGGGAGCGAACAGGCUUAGAUACCCUGGUAGUCCACGCUGUAAACGGUGGGUACUAGGUGUGGGGUCCAUUCCACGGGUUCCGUGCCGUAGCUAACGCUUUAAGUACCCCGCCUGGGGAGUACGGCCGCAAGGCUAAAACUCAAAGGAAUUGACGGGGCCCCGCACAAGCGGCGGAGCAUGCGGAUUAAUUCGAUGCAACGCGUAGAACCUUACCUGGGUUUGACAUGGAUCGGGAGUGCUCAGAGAUGGGUGUGCCUCUUUUGGGGUCGGUUCACAGGUGGUGCAUGGCUGUCGUCAGCUCGUGUCGUGAGAUGUUGGGUUAAGUCCCGCAACGAGCGCAACCCUUGUUCACUGUUGCCAGCACGUUAUGGUGGGGACUCAGUGGAGACCGCCGGGGUCAACUCGGAGGAAGGUGGGGAUGACAUCAAGUCAUCAUGCCCCUUAUGUCCAGGGCUUCACGCAUGCUACAAUGGCUGGUACAGAGAGUGGCGAGCCUGUGAGGGUGAGCGAAUCUCGGAAAGCCGGUCUCAGUUCGGAUUGGGGUCUGCAACUCGACCUCAUGAAGUCGGAGUCGCUAGUAAUCGCAGAUCAGCAACGCUGCGGUGAAUACGUUCCCGGGGCU